GAAGCUGGACGCCUUCAUCUAUGAUGCUGCAGUGCUCAACUACAUGGCCCGCAAAGACGAGGGCUGCAAGCUUGUCACCAUUGGCUCCGGCAAGGUCUUCGCCACGACAGGCUAUGGCAUCGCCCUGCACAAGGGCUCCCGCUGGAAGCGGCCCAUCGACCUGGCUCUGCUGCAGUUCCUGGGGGACGAUGAGAUCGAGAUGCUGGAGCGGCUGUGGCUCUCUGGGAUCUGCCACAAUGACAAAAUCGAGGUGAUGAGCAGCAAGCUGGACAUCGACAACAUGGCGGGCGUCUUCUACAUGCUCCUGGUGGCCAUGGGCUUGUCCCUGCUGGUCUUCGCCUGGGAGCACCUGGUGUACUGGCGGCUGCGGCACUGCCUGGGACCCACCCACCGCAUGGACUUCCUGCUGGCCUUCUCCAGGGGCAUGUACAGCUGCUGCAGCGCCGAGGCCGCCCCGCCGCCAGCCAAGCCUCCGCCGCCGCCGCAGCCCCUACCCAGCCCCGCGUACCCUGCGCCGCGGCCGGCGCCCGGGCCCGCGCCUUUCGUGCCCCGCGAGCGCGCCCCCGUGGACCGCUGGCGCCGGACCAAGGGCGCGGGGCCGCCGGGGGGCACGGGCCUGGCAGACGGCUUCCACCGCUACUACGGCCCCAUCGAGCCGCAGGGCCUGGGCCUGGGCCUGGGCCUGGGCGAGGCGCGCACGGCGCCCCGGGGCGCGGCCGGGCGCCCCCUGUCCCCGCCGGCCGCGCAGCCUCCGCAGAAGCCGCCGCCCUCCUACUUCGCCAUCGUGCGCGACAAGGAGCCCGCCGAGCCCCCCGCCGGCGCCUUCCCUGGCUUCCCGUCGCCGCCCGCGCCCCCCGCCGCCGCGGCCACCGCCGUCGGGCCGCCACUCUGCCGCCUGGCCUUCGAGGACGAGAGCCCGCCGGCGCCCGCGCGGUGGCCACGCUCAGAUCCGGAGAGCCAGCCCCUGCUGGGACCCGGCGCGGGGGGCGCUGGCGGCGCCGGGGGCGCGGGCGGAGGAGCCCCGGCCGCGCCGCCCCCAUGCCGCGCAGCGCCGCCCCCCUGCCCUUACCUCGACCUCGAGCCGUCGCCGUCGGACUCGGAGGACUCGGAGAGUCUGGGCGGCGCGUCGCUGGGAGGCCUGGAGCCCUGGUGGUUCGCCGACUUCCCCUACCCAUACGCCGAGCGCCUCGGGCCCCCUCCCGGCCGCUACUGGUCGGUAGACAAGCUUGGGGGCUGGCGCGCCGGGAGCUGGGACUACCUGCCCCCGCGCAGCGGUCCCGCUGCCUGGCACUGCCGCCACUGCGCCAGUCUGGAGCUGCUGCCGCCGCCGCGCCAUCUCAGUUGCUCGCACGACGGCUUGGACGGCGGCUGGUGGGCGCCACCGCCUCCGCCCUGGGCCGCCGGGCCCCCGCCCCGACGCCGGGCCCGCUGCGGGUGUCCACGGUCGCACCCACACCGCCCGCGGGCCUCCCACCGCACGCCCGCCGCCGCCGCACCCCACCACCACCGGCACCGGCGCGCCGCGGGGGGGCUGGGACCUCCCGCCGCCCGCGCCCACCUCGCGCUCGCUCGAGGACCUCAGCUCGUGUCCCCGUGCCGCCCAGGCGCGCAGGCUCACCGGGCCCUCCCGCCACGCUCGCAGGUGCCCGCACGCGGCACACUGGGGGCCGCCUCUGCCCACAGCGUCCCACCGCAGACACCGGGGCGGGGACCUGGGCACCCGCAGGGGCUCGGCGCACUUCUCCAGCCUGGAGUCCGAGGUAUGACGCGGCCCUGGGGGCCCCACCGCCCCCUUGGUCAGCGCAGGCCACGGCCCGAGGGGGCGCCCGCAGUGGAUAGGACCCGCGUGGAUUGGGAAGGAAAGCAGCGGAACUGGCCGGACCCCGCCUGGAGCAGCGUCCUGUGCCCCCUCGUUCUGAAGGAAUAGCGAGCCGAAGAGGAUUUGGUCCCCCAGUUAUCACCCAGCCUGAGAAUGAGGGGGUGGGGGCCUCGGAGCCCACCGGACUUUUUUUUAAACCCGACAAGGGCUUUUUAACGUCACCAGAUGGGGCGGGAGGUGGGGCGUCACGCCACUCUCGCGUCCCACCUCCAUGCCCCGGGCCGUGGCCCCCACAUCACUGUGCAGCUCCCCGGCCCCAGCCACGCCUCCGGGGAAGCCCGUUUUUAACCUUUCAUCCAUCAGGACUCAAAACUGUGAGACGCGUUUGCCAAACUGUGACCCCAGACCUUGGCCCCGCGGCACAGAAACCCCUGACCCAGACUGUGACAUCCGACUCCUAAAAUGGUCAUCCGACCCCAGACUGUGACCCCUGACCCCAAACUGUGACCCGAACCCCAGACUGUGCCCCGACCAGACUGUGACCCUUGACAUCAAACCGUGACACCCCCUCCUCCUCUUCAACCCUCGGGCUCUUUUCCUUACUCUGACUUAGGACACGUCCCCAACGGAAGCCCCACCAACCCUUGCACCGCGAUGAACCCAACCUCCCUCAAGCCAAAACUUCCCAACCUGCCUCUCACAUCUCGACCACCCCACUUGCCACCAACCACAUCCUCUCCAAAUCCAACCCUUAUUUGCGACCCUUCAGUGAUGACCCAGCAGACCUCCAAAAAGCCUCCUCUUUCCAGAUCUCCAGCCGGGUCUGGGGCUGGGUUGCGGAGGGGAGGGUCUGGGAGUCCACACUUCACCAACCUCCCUUCCCACUCUUCUAUUCCACAUUGCAGUGUUUGGAAUAAACCAUGUUUUUAUGCCUCCUCA